UAGCUUUAUAAAACUAUAUAGCUAAAUAUAGAGAUUGUACUGGGCCUGAUAUAUAUGGCAAUACAGAGGAAAUCCAUCAUAUGCAUCAAAAGUUUGAAAAAGGUGAAUUGACUUAAAUAUUUGUGAACAAAAUUGAAACAAGAAAAAAAAAAGAAAUUAGGAAGAACCUUUUGUGUUCGUUUAAAACAUGUUGGGUAGAUUUUGAAGUUGUUUAACUCGGCUUUAUACAUGAUACAUGUUAAGUGCUCAAAUGACUCUUGUGAUGAAGUAUGCAUAUUUUUCAGAUUGAUUUCAGAAGUCUGAAUGCAAGCAAGCUCCCAUAUGACUACAAUGUAUAAGGGAAAUUAUAUAUAUGUACAAUAAAUAUGGUAUAUUGGAACUGGAUAAUUUCCCAUGCCUUUCACUUGAGGUCUUCAGUUUCAUCAUUAAUCAUGUGAACGUCUGUAUGAAAAACUCUCAUGAUGUCAUGUCAUUGCUGAACAUUCCUUAACACUGGUUUAUUUCAGCCACACUACCUAUAACAUUGCCAAAAUAUUAGACUGAAAAUUUUCAAAUACACAAGAUUUGAAGCAGCAAAAGAAAAGAAUUAAAUAUGUAUAACACAAAAAGAAGAAGAAAUUAAUUCUCACCUGGCUGAAAUGAACUUUUUACUCCUUUUUAGCUCCCUUUCACCACAUACCAGCCAACAAC